AGAUUGAACGCUGGCGGCGUGCCUAACACAUGCAAGUCGAGCGGUAACGCGGGAGCAAUCCUGGCGACGAGCGGCGAACGGGUGAGUAAGGCAUCGGAAUCUGCCCUGAUGUGGGGGAUAACGUAGGGAAACUUACGCUAAUACCGCAUACGACCGAGAGGUGAAAGCGGGGGACCGAAAGGCCUCGCGCAGCAGGAUGAGCCGAUGCCCGAUUAGCUGGUUGGUGGGGUAACGGCCCACCAAGGCGACGAUCGGUAGCUGGUCUGAGAGGAUGAUCAGCCACACUGGGACUGAGACACGGCCCAGACUCCUACGGGAGGCAGC
rnacentral:rRNA from 1 species